rnacentral:rRNA from 1 species
CCUACGGGAGGCAGCAGUAAGGAAUCUUGCGCAAUGGGCGAAAGCCUGACGCAGCGACGCCGCGUGGGCGAUGAAGGCCUUCGGGUUGUAAAGCCCUUUUCUGGGGGACGAGGAAGGACGGUACCCCAGGAAUAAGUCACGGCUAACUACGUGCCAGCAGCCGCGGUAAAACGUAGGUGGCAAGCGUUACCCGGAUUCACUGGGCGUAAAGGACGCGUAGGCGGUCGGACGUGUCGUCCGUGAAAGCCCCCAGCUUAACUGGGGAAGGUCGGGCGAAACUGUUCGGCUGGGGGGCAGGAGAGGGGAGCGGAACUACUAGAGUAGCGGUGAAAUGCGCAGAUACUAGUAGGUACUCCGAUAGCGAGGGCAGCUCCCUGGCCUGCCACCGACGCUGAGGCGUGAAAGCGUGGGGAGCAAAAGGGAUUAGAUACCCCUGUAGU